UAGUAGCGCAAUCUGGUUAGUGCACCUGCUUUGGGAGCAGGGGGUUCAGACCCCGCCCUAGGUACCA
rnacentral:tRNA from 1 species